ensembl:lncRNA novel transcript
GCAGAUGCCAGCUGUGGAGUCUCCCACAAGUGAAGAGAAGGACUUGAGUAGGUCUUACAUAAUUUCUUCAAAAGCAGAAGAAAGAUCACAGGAAUUAGCAGGCUGCAUGGUGGUCCAAUUGAGAAAAAAAUGUGACUGCACCACUCUUCUGUCAAGAGUCUAUGAGUGGCUGCAAUAUAAAAAGAAGAAAACGCACCUCAAAGACUUUAAAAAGCAACAGAAAUAAUGGUAGGGUCAUUGUGGGGGUCAACAUGGAUUCACGUCAAUAUUUGUUACUUUCCUAGUCAAAUCUAUAUAACUAUUUAAUUAUAAUUGUCAUCAGAUAAUGACUAUAAAAUAGGAACAUUUUCAACCACAAAAUAAAUAUUAAGACAA